rnacentral:snoRNA from 2 species
UAGUAUACUUUCAGGGAUCAUUUCUAUAGUUUGUUACUAGAGAAGUUUCUCUGAACGUGUAGGGUAUCAGGAUGUCUUUUAGAGGUGGUUGGUUCCCUGUCUAGGUUCCCUUGACUUUGCAAGACAGCCGAGCUGA